rnacentral:tRNA from 1 species
CCUGGAGUAGCUCAAUCAGCAGAGCACCCGACCGAUAAUCGGGAGGUUGCGGGUGCGAGACCCGCCUCCAGGACCA